rnacentral:rRNA from 1 species
UACGUAGGGGGCAAGCGUUGUCCGGAUUUAUUGGGCGUAAAGAGCGUGUAGGCGGCCAAGCAGGUCCGCUGUGAAAACUCGAGGCUCAACCUCGAGACGUCGGUGGAAACCGUUUGGCUAGAGUCCGGAAGAGGAGAGCGGAAUUUCCGGUGUAGCGGUGAAAUGCGUAGAUAUCGGAAGGAACACCAGUGGCGAAGGCGGGUCUCUGGGCCGAUACUGACACUGAGGAGCGAAAGCGUGGGGAGCGAACAGG